rnacentral:rRNA from 1 species
AGCUGUGUUAUGAUAGCAUCUUUAAAAACUGGCAGCCUGAUUUCAUCAGAUCUCAGAAGCUAAGCAGGGCUGAGCCUGGCCAGUACUGGGAUGGGAGGCCUGCCUGCAAGGAAAACCAGGUUGCUGCUGUAA